UCGAAAACCACUAUUCGAUUAACGUAGAAAUCAGUAUGAAAUUGAAUAUAAAUUUACAUAAUCCACUACGAAUUAACGUAAUCCAUUACAAAAUUAUCAAAAUCCACUACAAAGUUAUCAAAAUCCACUUUAUAGGUUAAAGUAAUCCACUACAAAAUUAACGUAAUAUAUGGUUAAUCCACUAAAAAAAUAUCGUAGAAAAACACUUAUGCAUCAACAACAAACUUAUCAAAAUCCACUACAAGCUUCCGAAUUUAUGAUAGCGUUGCUCGUGGUUUUCGUUAGGUUAGAGUGACCCGGUGAUAAACACUACAAACUUAUCAUCACCCAACAUCGUCUCACUUGCUGCCAUCACCCGCUUGUGCAAGAACCUAAACCAAAGAAAAAUAAGACAACAACGUGUCAAUUUAAUUCAUUCACUAAAAUUCGGUCUCCAAAGCAAAAAUUUAAAAUCCACUAUAAUCUCGUCAAAACCCACUACAAAAAUUAUCGAAAUCCACUAAAAUAUUAACAUAAUCCACUACGAAAUUAGUUAAUCCACUAAAAAAUUACAACAACAGUAUAAUAACAAAUAUUCAAAUAGUGACCGAAAACAUGAAGGAGCCUCAAAAGUAUAUUGAAAAUCUCAUAUAUAUAAUAGCUCAUUCAACAAUUCAACUAGUUGUCACUUCUAUUUUGUUAUCCAUCAUAUAGAAUUUAUUUAUGGAUAUAAAGAAAAAAUGAUAGCAAAAAAAUAGCAGCAAACCAACAUCUUAAAACAGCAGCAAAGCAACACGAAAACAACAGCAAAACAACAACAAAAUCAGCUGCAAAUUAGGAGCCAAACAGCAGCAAAGCCAAAAGAAAACAGCAGCAAAAAAACAGCAGCAAAAACAGCAGCAAAAAACAGCAGAAAAAACAGCAGCAAAAAACAGCAGCAGCAGCAAAAAACAGCAGCAAAAAACAGCAGCAAAAUGGCAUCCAAACAAUAGCCAAUUGUAGCUAAAAAAUACAAUAAAUAAAUUAUAAUUCUAAAUUUUCAGAAAAAAAAUAUCCAAAAUUUGAAAAUAUUUUUGGAAAUUAUGGAAUUUUCGAUAAUAUUUAGUGCUUCACCUUAUUGAUUCGUAUUGUAUUUCUUAUUAAAAAUUAUCAAAUUUCAAAACCAAAACAUGUUUGAAAUAAGACAUUAUCAAAUUUCAAAACCAAAACAUGUUUGAAAUCAGAAGAAUUUAUAUAAAAAAAUAUGAAAUCAUGGGAUGAAAAAUCAAAAAACCUAAAGCGACGAAGUAUUUUCGCAUACCUUAUAAUCAACAACCGCCGACGAGAAAGAGAACCGCGAUGAACUUAUCUAUUUGCCGACAAAAUAUAGAGGGAAUGAGACAAAUCGUUCUGCGUUUUGGGAAAACAUACCAACUUCGUGGGUAAGCGGAUCUCGUCAGCGAGUGAGAAGACGAUUAACAAGAUGGACAGAUCUGGUAGUAUGUAACGAGGGGCGGCGAUGGUGGUGGGAAAAGAGAGGGGCGGCGGCCGAGCAGGAGAAGGGCGGAGAUGGUGUGGUCAUCCGGUGAGACGACGAGGUUGUGGAGCAAGAUUAUGGCGUGACUGUGGAGAGAAAGAAGGAAGAAGACGAAGCGAGGUUGUGGGGCGUGCGUGGGGCGUGCGUGAUUGUGGAGAGAAGGAAGGGAGAAGAGGAAUAAGUGAAGGGACGUGUU
rnacentral:lncRNA from 1 species